rnacentral:rRNA from 1 species
AACGAACGCUGGCGGCAUGCCUAACACAUGCAAGUCGAACGAGACCUCCGGGUCUAGUGGCGCACGGGUGCGUAACGCGUGGGAACUUGCCCGUAGGUUCGGAAUAACUCAGAGAAAUUUGAGCUAAUACCGGUUGAGGUCUUCGGGCCAAAGAUUUAUCGCCUUUGGCUGGGCCCGCGUUGGAUUAGCUGGUUGGUGGGGGAAAGGCCUACCAAGGCGACGAUCCAUAGCUGGUCUGAGAGGAUGCUCAGCCACACUGGGACUGAGACCCGGCCCAGACUCCUACGGGAGGCAGCAGUGGGGAGUAUUGUGCACUGGGCGCAAGCCUGAUCCAGCCAUGCCGCGUGAGUGAUGAAGGCCUUAGUGUUGUACAGCUCUUUUACCCGAGGUGAUAAUGACAGUAUCGGGAGAAUAAGCUCCGGCUAACUCCGUG